rnacentral:snRNA from 1 species
AGCUUUGCGCAGUGGCAGUAUCGUAGCCAAUGAGGUUUAUCCGAGGCGCGAUUAUUGCUAAGAAAUUACUAAU